UUUUUUUUUUUAAACCUUUUAUUGUUUUUUUUUUUUUCCUACUGUACAGCAUGGUGACCCAGUUACACAUACAUGUGUACAUUCUUUUUUCUCAUAUUACGUGUUGAAUCACAAGUGACUUGACAGAGUUCCCAGUGCUGUACAGCAGGAUCUCAUUGCUAAUCCAUCUGGGCUAUUUUUUCGUGUCAUCUUAUAAUUUCCAGAAUUUAUAUGUGUGUGAAAACUGGAAAUUUUGGAGUGUGAUCUUUAGAUAGAGGCUGCUUUUCUUUGCAGUUGAGGAUCUGCUAGCCAGCACACCAUGUGAACAUCGGCCCCUGGUCCCUUGAGAUUUCAUCCUUUGCUUGGUUUUCUGUAUUUGAUUGACUCUCAGGCUGUGUUAGCAGACCUCUCUCUCUCAGGUAGGAAUAUCAUUUGCCUGGAUUUGUUUUUGAAUAAAUUACAGACAAGUACCUUCUCUGUGCAGAAGAAUUGCAAUAAGCAAAAACUUUUCUUUACUCUUAGUUAAUAAACAAGAAUGGCUCUCUUUUAGAACUAACAGAUCAUCCACAUUUUAUCUGUCCAUUUUCAAAGUUUUAAAGUAUUAUUUAAAAUAUUAUAUAAAGUAUUUGUUUUACAUACAGCCAUAUGAUAUUAAUUAUUAUAAAAAUAAAUCUGAAAUAUAAAGAUUAUUUCUAUGCUAUUUAGUGAGAAUUUGGAGCUAGGAUAUUGUGCAGUUUAAAUAAAGGAUUAGGAGUUCCCAGGCUAGGGGUUGAAUCGGAGCUACAACUGCCAGCCAAGGCCAGAGCCACAGCAAUGUGGAAUCCAAGCCAUGUCUGCGACCUAUACCACAGCUCUCAGCAAUGCCGGAUCCUUAACCCACUAAGCAAGGCCAGGGAUCGAACCCACAAGCUCAUGGUUCCUAGUCGGAUUCUUUAACCACUGAGCCAUGAUGGAAACUCCUUCAAUGAUAUUUAAACUAGAGUGGACAGCUGCUACACAGUGGUGCCAUGCCAGAGCCAAGAGCUAAAAGCCAGACCCCAAAACUCCCAGCCAGAUCGUUGUACUACCCAACUCUGUUUCACUAAAUUUUCCAUUUGGAGCCUCAUGGUUUAUACAAUUGAGCAACUAUAGUUUUGGACUUCUACUCAUUAAAUCAUCAUGAUAAGGUUUUAUUACAUUAGAUUAAUUGAGAAUACUAGGUGUAUAUUAUUCUUUUUUUUUUAAAUCAAUUCCAGCUUCUUUAUCAAAAUAAAAAGUAAUAACUCUGGCCAUUGACUAUUCGUAUUUGAUGUUACAGGUUUGAAAUGUGAAUUUGGUGUUAAGCUACUUAUUUAGAAUCUAGAGCAAAACUCUAUCUACUGGAACGAUCCUUAAGAAUUAAAAAACAGGAGUUCCCAUCAUGGCGCAGUGGAAAUGAAUCCAACUAAGAAUCAUGAGGUUGCAGUUUCGAUCCCUGGCCUUGCUCAGUGGGUUAAGGAUUUGGCAUUGCUACGGCUGUGGCAUAGACUGGCGGCUACAGCUAUGAUUAGACCCCUAGCCUGGGAACCUCCACAUGCUGCAGGUGCGGCCUUAAAAAAGACAAAAGACAAAAAAAAAAAAAAAGAAUUAAAAAAAACCACAAGUAUAUAAAAAUCUCAAUUGGAAGUUUUUGCUACCAUGAGUGAAGACAUGGCUUUUGAAAUAUAGAUAUUAAAAUCAAAUGAAGGAAAUUCACUUACUCUUUCACUCUUUCACAAAUUUUUAUUUCCUUAGACUGUGUUUUGUAGGAGUAUUGAAUUUGUAAUUCUUAUAUUAGAUACUACGAAGGACCUUUAAGCAAAUUUAAAAUAAAACUAAAAUAAACAUUAUUGAGAUUAUUUCUAGAACAUGUUAAGUGUGUUUAAUUCCCUUUAGAACUAGGCAUUUUAACUAUUUUUCCCUGCUCUAGCGGGGUUUUGCAUUAGCAGCAAUAGUCUAAGUGACAACAUCAUUGUUUUUAAUAAAACGGAUUAAUAAAAAUGUAAGAGGAUUAAACAUUUCAGAUUCUGGCUUCAAUGCUUAAUAUGAGAGUAUUGGUUUGAAGCCAGUAUACUACCCCUGCUCAUGUUUUGGCACUUUUCUUGAAGUAAUGUUACCUCUUCUGAGAUUAUUCACUGAGGCAGUCAUUCUCAGUCAAGGACCAGUUUUGCCCCCAGGGAACAUAUUUGGCAAUAUCUGAAAGCAGUUUUGGUUGACACAAUUGGGGAGGUGGGUUCUACAGGAAUCUAAUAAGUAGAAGCCAGAGAUACUGCUAAAUAUCCCACUGUGCAAGGAAUUAUCUGGUACAAAAUAUCAAAAGUGCCAAUGAGAAGUCCUGGUCUAGAAGUGUUUACAGUUUGGCUUCUUUCUCAUCUCUGUCUUCUUUCCUUUUCCUUCUUUCUCUUUCCAUUCCUCUUACUUGAUGGAGAAAGGUAAGUGGCUGUCUGUUUUGUGCUCAAUGUAAUCUCUUAAAAGUUUUCUCCUAAGGUGUGGCUUGUGCAGAGUGAAAAGGAGGUCAGGAGACCUGCACUUGGCUGCAUGACCUUGGACAUAUCAUUUACAUUCUUUGAUUUCUUUAUCUCUAAAAGGCAGAACUGAACAAGAUCUAAGGUUUAUUCUAGCCCAAUAAAAUCAAAAUUAUUUGGCUAAACCAUUUAUUCAAGGUGACUCGAGAACCUCUUCUCUGUCUCAUGUCAUGCUAGGUGCUGCGAGUGAACUGAUGCAGGAGACCAGAAGAUUUAGUUCCUGAUAAUCUAAAUGCCUGUGAUUUAAUUGGGGAGAUGGACACUUAAACAGAAAUGACCCUGCAAUAUGAUGAGCAUUUUAGUAAAAGUCUAUGGGACAGGGGUAGACAGCCACUACCUGUGACUAGUCAUCAGAGAGAAGGUAAACUGAUGUGGCCAUUGGAGGAGAGGAGGCAUUUGGCAGAAGGGGAGGCAGGGCACCCAGACAGAAGGAGUAGGCUAGGGAUAGCUUACCAUUAUGAGGCCCUGCUAUGUUAAGUCAUGCUGAAAAGCUUCGUGUAAUGGGAACAUUGUCACUGAAUAAAAAUGCCCUUCUUAUGUUGCUUUAAAAUAUCCAACAUUUCCAAAAGAAUUUUAAGACCGUGAAAAGUAUAUGUCACGUGGCCCUUGCACUGGUUUGUGUCCAGCGGGUAUAUCGCAAGCACUAACAGCCCCAGGAUCCCAUUAGGUCCCGUCUUUCCUAUUGUACUUGCUUUAACUUGUGCCUCAUCUGCUGCUUCAUUGUUAAAGCUGUGGCUUGUGCUGUAGAAAAUUCAAGAACAACACAUCCAGUGUUUUAAAAGGUGCCUGCUUACCACCACCACUGUCAAGUUCCCUUGAAAAUAAUUUAAAAUUUUAAUAACCCCUUGGGGCAGUAGACGUGGGUGAUUAAAACUGCUGAUCUACUUCACAAAUGCAAGUGAGCCAAGUGUAGUAUCAUUUCGUUCAGCCCUCCUAACACACAAGGGAGCACAAUGACAGAAGUAAUGCCAAGGCUUCUGGCACACGUGGUUGACAGGCAGCACCAGUUUUUGGCUUGGUGACCAAAAACUGGCCAGCACUGCCGAACUAGUGGUCCUCAGCUUGGCCUAAACACCAUCAUACUUGAUUUUUUUUUUUUUUUUUUUUUGCAGCUGUGAAAAUCAGAAAAUUAGAGUAUGUCAUAAAAGGAAACAAGUAUUCUGAGGGAAAUUAAUCUUUUUAUCGGCUGUAAAGAAGUAGACACAUUUUGCCUGAAUUUUCCCUCAGCAAAUCUGACUUUGCUCAGGAGAAGGGAGUUUAAGUGGAAUAAAUCCUUUUACUGCUUUUCUUUGGAAAUGUCUAUAUAGAAAAAGAAGUUACGUAGUAGACUUCACAGUGACUUGAGAGUUCAGGAAAUCUGUUUUCUAUUUCCAGCCAAGCUGCUGACUUUCUGUUAUGCUUAACUUCUUGAUGUCUGAAUUUCUCCUUCUAGAAAUAAAUCUAGUAAUACCUGCUGUUCAUGGCUUAGGACUUAUGAAGUAAUGUCUAUAGAGUAUUUUGAGAGGAAAAAGUUCUAUAACACAAAUAAGUAUUUUUCCACCCUUGAUAUAAGUUAAUUCCCUGUUUGUAUGUUUGAAUUCUAAGUAGUCUAACAUUUGGCAACCACUCUUUUCUUUUUCCCCACCAGAACAUAAAAUUCAUGAUUAGCUAUUCAUUCUGAACUUGUCACAACUUCAUUCAACCUAAUAAACAUCCCAGAAAAGAGUAGACUUGGCUGAAGUGAAAUCAGUACAUCUUUACUAACGUCACCACUAAAUUAAACCACUAGUUUUAAAUCUGUAUUGAGCUAAGGGGAAAUGUUCAGAAAUCAAGGCCUGGGGUGCAUGCUCCCAGAAUCAAUCAAACUCAGCUGUCAAUCAGCUCGGUAAGAGGAGGAAGAGGUAUUCAAGGCCAACAUGUUCCUUUUUGGUAUAUACAGCCCUGUGAUGGUACUAAAAGAUGGACUAUACUGAAGCAUUCAUUAAUAGGCAAGCAAUCCUAAGUGUGACAUGAGAUUUAAAAUGUUUUCAGUUCUUAAAGAUUGUUCGUUAUGCCAUAGGUGGAUGUUCCUUUAUGGUCUAUUUUAUUUUCUAUGUAAAUACUAUCUGAUGCCUGCUUAAGAGAGAACCACACUCAUUCACUUACAGGUAGUCUGUGGCAGCUUGUGCAUUACAGUGGCAGGUUAAAUAGUUGUAAUGGAGGAUUCAUGGACCACAAAAAAAAUAUUUAUUACCUGGCUUUUUGCAGAAAAAGUAUGCUGACCCUUUAUUUAAAAAAAUACCUUAAGGGAGUUCCCAUUGUGGCGCAGUGGUUAACGAAUCCGACUAGGAACCAUGAGGUCUCAGGUUCGAUCCCUGGCCUUGCUGAGUGGGUUAAGGAUCCAGUGUUGCCCUGAGCUGUGGUGUGGAUUACAGACGAAGCUCGGAUCCCGCAUAAUUGUGGCUUUGGCAUAGGCCAGCGGCUUCAGCUCUGAUUAGACCCCUAGCCUGGGAACCUCCAUAUGCUGCGGGAAGCAGCCCUAGAAAAGGCAAAAAAAAAAAAAAGAAAAA
ensembl:lncRNA